UACGAAGGGGGCUAGCGUUGCUCGGAAUCACUGGGCGUAAAGGGUGCGUAGGCGGGUUUUUAAGUCAGGGGUGAAAUCCUGGAGCUCAACUCCAGAACUGCCUUUGAUACUGAAGAUCUCGAGUCCGGGAGAGGUGAGUGGAACUGCGAGUGUAGAGGUGAAAUUCGUAGGUAUUCGCAAGAACACCAGUGGCGAAGGCGGCUCACUGGCCCGGUACUGACGCUGAGGCACGAAAGCGUGGGGAGCAAACAGG
rnacentral:rRNA from 1 species